rnacentral:misc_RNA from 1 species
UCCGGCUUAUCACCGGCGGUUCCAUUAGAGUGCCCAACUGAAUGCUGGCAACUAACGGCGAGGGUUGCGCUCGUUGCGGGACUUAACCCAACAUCUCACGACACGAGCUGACGACAACCAUGCACCACCUGUGCAGGACCCUUGCGGACCUCCCAUCUCUGGAAGAUUUCCCUGCAUGUCAAGCCUUGGUAAGGUUCUUCGCGUUGCGUCGAAUUAAGCCACAUGCUCCGCUGCUUGUGCGGGCCCCCGUCAAUUCUUUUGAGUUUUAGCCUUGCGGCCGUACUCCCCAGGCGGAACGCUUAUCGCGUUGGCUACGGCACAGACAGAUUCGACUCCGCCCACACCUAGUGUUCAUCGUUUACGGCGUGGACUAC